ACAACAUUGCUAACCCUAAAACCAUCAACCAGCUUCGACCCAAAGCUCCCGGCACGCCACCAGACAGGGGAGGCGGAGCUCAGCCGCCGAAGCCGUAGAGGGUGCGGCCCUGGCGCUUGAGCGCGUAGACGACGUCCAUGGCGGUGACGGUCUUGCGGCGGGCGUGCUCCGUGUAGGUGACGGCGUCACGGAUGACGUUCUCGAGAAAGAUCUUGAGCACGCCGCGGGUCUCCUCGUAGAUCAGCCCGGAGAUGCGCUUCACGCCGCCCCUGCGCGCCAGCCUCCGGAUCGCCGGCUUGGUGAUUCCCUGGAUGUUGUCGCGGAGGACCUUGCGGUGCCGCUUCGCGCCGCCCUUGCCCAGACCCUUGCCUCCCUUGCCGCGGCCCGACAUGGCUUCCCUCGGAGGCGGUGAGCUCGAACUCGAGAGGAUUGGUGGUGAUUUGGGGGAUUGGGGAUUCGUUGGU
rnacentral:lncRNA from 1 species